ensembl:lncRNA
UUUGAGGCCAGGCAGCCCAAGCUUCAGAGCCCGCACUGUUAACUGCUGUCCUGCACAGACCCAAAUCCACCUGGUUUUUGCCCUCACAGAGUUUACAGUCCAACAGGGAGACUGGCAUGAAACAAACAUAGAAAUAAAUACACAGCCGCAAAGAAUGAAUCACUGAGAGGGUUGAAGAAACAGACGCUAGCCUGAGCUUCCUGGAAUGAUCAUGAAGUCGCACUGCAGAACCAGGCCACCAAGAGCUGCUGCCUCAUCUGCAUCAGAAAGCGCCAUCAACAACACAUUCCCCAUAAUCAUGAAGCCACUCUUCCACCAGCUCCUGAGCCACCACAUGCCUGAUGUGUUCCAGACAGACUGGGUGCCCAAGUCCUGCCUCUCAACACCCACCCAGCCAGCGAAGGGUCCCUUGAGUUUUGCUCACAUUGUUGAAGUAGAACCAGGCUUGUCAGCAAAAGAGGAGAAGUAGUAAGAAGAUUGGCCUCCACCCUACUUUCACUUUCAAAUCUCACAUGAGUCAUGUGGUCAAACCUGAAUUACAUCUGAAAUUUAGGAGGCCUGGGAAACGUAGUUACGUUUUUUAAGGAGGCUUUAUUUUUUAGAGCAGUUUUAGCUUCAC